GAUGAACGCUGGCGGCGUGCUUAACACAUGCAAGUCGAACGGAACUACUCCAAUGAGUGUCUUCGGAAAGGAUUGGGUUUAGUGUAGUGGCGGACGGGUGAGUAACGCGUGGGUAACCUGCCCUAUACAGGGGGAUAACAGUUGGAAACGACUGUUAAUACCGCAUAAGCGCACAGGAGCGCAUGCGCCGGUGUGAAAAACUCCGGUGGUAUAGGAUGGACCCGCGUCUGAUUAGCUGGUUGGCGGGGUAACGGCGCACCAAGGCGACGAUCAGUAGCCGGCAUGAGAGGGUGGAUGGACACUUUGGGACUGGGACACGGCCCAGACUACUGCGGGAGGCAGCAGUGCGGAAUAUUGCCCAAUGGGGGAAGCGCUGAUGCUGCGCCGCCGGGUGAGCGAAGAAGUAUCUCGGGAUGUAAAGCUCUAUAAGCAGGGGCGAAAUUGACGGUACCUGAAUAAGAAGCCCCGGCUAACUACGUG
rnacentral:rRNA from 1 species